rnacentral:rRNA from 1 species
CCCUUAGACGUUCUGGGCCGCACGCGCGCUACACUGACCAGUGCAACAAGCAUCCGUCCUUGGCCGACAGGCUCGGGCAAUCUUUGAACGCUGGUCGUGAUGGGGAUAGACUUUUGCAAUUUUUGGUCUUCAACGAGGAAUUCCUAGUAAACGCAAGUCAUCAACUUGCAUUGAUUACGUCCCUGCCCUUUGUACACACCGCCCGUCGCACCUACCGAUUGAAUGGUCCGGUGAAAUCUCCGGACUGGCGUGAGUCGGAGCAAUCUGACAAACACCGGAAAGUUGAUUAAACCUUACCAUUUAGAGGAAGGUGAAGUCGUANCA